AACGAACGCUGGCGGCAGGCUUAACACAUGCAAGUCGAACGCCCCGCAAGGGGAGUGGCAGACGGGUGAGUAACGCGUGGGAACAUACCCUUUCCUGCGGAAUAGCUCUGGGAAACUGGAAUUAAUACCGCAUACGCCCUACGGGGGAAAGAUUUAUCGGGGAAGGAUUGGCCCGUGUUGGAUUAGCUAGUUGGUGGGGUAAAGGCCUACCAAGGCGACGAUCCAUAGCUGGUCUGAGAGGAUGAUCAGCCACAUUGGGACUGAGACACGGCCCAAACUCCUACGGGAGGCAGCAGUGGGGAAUAUUGGACAAUGGGCGCAAGCCUGAUCCAGCCAUGCCGCGUGAGUGAUGAAGGCCUUAGGGUUGUAAAGCUCUCUCACCGAUGAAGAUAAUGACGGUAGUCGGAGAAGAAGCCCCGGCUAACUUCGUGCCAGCAGCCGCCGUAACAC
rnacentral:rRNA from 1 species